UACGGGGGGGGCAAGCGUUGUUCGGAAUUACUGGGCGUAAAGGGCUCGUAGGCGGCCAACUAAGUCAGACGUGAAAUCCCCAGGCUCAACCUGGGAACUGCGUCUGAUACUGGAUGGCUUGAAUUCGGGAGAGGGAUGCAGAAUUCCAGGUGUAGCGGUGAAAUGCGUAGAUAUCUGGAGGAAUACCGGUGGCGAAGGCGGCAUCCUGGACCGACAUUGACGCUGAACGGCGAAAGCUAGGGGAGCAAACGGG
rnacentral:rRNA from 1 species